rnacentral:rRNA from 1 species
GACGAACGCUGGCGGCGUGCUUAACACAUGCAAGUCGAACGGAAAGGCCCUGCUUUUGUGGGGUGCUCGAGUGGCGAACGGGUGAGUAACACGUGAGUAACCUGCCCUUGACUUUGGGAUAACUUCAGGAAACUGGGGCUAAUACCGGAUAGGAGCUCCUGCUGCAUGUUGGGGGUUGGAAAGUUUCGGCGGUUGGGGAUGGAAUCGCGGCUUAUCAGCUUGUUGGUGGGGUAGUGGCUUACCAAGGCUUUGACGGGUAGCCGGCCUGAGAGGGUGACCGGCCACAUUGGGACUGAGAUACGGCCCAGACUCCUACGGGAGGCAGCAGUGGGGAAUAUUGCACAAUGGGCGGAAGCCUGAUGCAGCAACGCCGCGUGCGGGAUGACGGCCUUCGGGUUGUAAACCGCUUUCGCCUGUGACGAAGCGUGAGUGACGGUAAUGGGUAAAGAAGCACCGGCUAACUACGUG